UGGGGAAUUUUGCACAAUGGGGGAAACCCUGAUGCAGCGACGCCGCGUGAUUUAGAAGGCCUUCGGGUUGUAAAAAUCUUUUCUAUGGGAAGAAAAUGACAGUACCAUAGGAAUAAGGACCGGCUAAUUACGUGCCAGCAGCCGCGGUAAUACGUAAGGUCCGAGCGUUGUCCGGAAUCAUUGGGCGUAAAGGGUACGUAGGCGGGUAAGCAAGUUAGAAGUGAAAUCCUGUAGCUCAACUACAGUAAGCUUUUAAAACUGCUUAUCUUGACAUCUGGAAGGGAAAGUGGAAUUCCUAGUGUAGCGGUGAAAUGCGCAGAUAUUAGGAGGAAUACCGGUGGCGAAGGCUACUUUCUGGCCAUGAUCUGACGCUGAGGUACGAAAGCGUGGGUAGCAAACAGG
rnacentral:rRNA from 1 species